UACGUAGGGCAGCGAGCGUUGUUCGGAAUUACUGGGCGUAAAGAGUGUGUAGGUGGUGCUCUAAGUUCGGGUGUGAAAUCUCCCCGGCUCAACCGGGAGGGUGCGCCGAAAACUGGGGGACUCGAGUGCGGGAUGGGAGAGUAGAAUUCCUGGUGUAGCGGUGAAAUGCGUAGAUAGUCAGGAGGAAUACCGGUGGUGUAGACGG
rnacentral:rRNA from 1 species